GGCCUAACACAUGCAAGUCGAGGGGUAUAGUUCUUCGGAGCUAGAGACCGGCGCACGGGUGCGUAACGCGUAUGCAAUCUACCUUUCACAGAGGGAUAGCCCAGAGAAAUUUGGAUUAAUACCUCAUGGUAUAUAGACCUGGCAUCAGGAUUAUAUUAAAGUCACAACGGUGAAAGAUGAGCAUGCGUCCCAUUAGCUAGUUGGUAAGGUAACGGCUUACCAAGGCUACGAUGGGUAGGGGUCCUGAGAGGGAGAUCCCCCACACUGGUACUGAGACACGGACCAGACUCCUACGGGAGGCAGCAGUGAGGAAUAUUGGACAAUGGGCGCAAGCCUGAUCCAGCCAUGCCGCGUGCAGGAUGACGGUCCUAUGGAUUGUAAACUGCUUUUGUACGAGAAGAAACACUGAUUCGUGAAUCAGCUUGACGGUAUCGUAAGAAUAAGGAUCGG
rnacentral:rRNA from 1 species